GUCACGCUGACAUUUCCUGCUCCAUGAAAAGGACUGAACAGGAUCUCACUGAAGAAAACAUCUUUAAGAGUCCUUCUGUGGAGCUGGAAGGCUGUAUUCAUGGCAGGUUAGUGAGCAAACAACCUACAUUCAAAUCCCGUCUCUGCUAAUCAGGAGCUUACGGCUUUGAAGAUCACUGGCACCCUGUUGCAAUGAAAGUAUCUGACUGUUUACUGCAGCACUGACUCGAGGUUAAGCGAGCAGUGGACCAUUAAAACUCAGGAGAAUGCAAUACAUCUCUAAUUUCUGCCUUCAGCAAAAAAUUGCUUUGAUAUAGACUUUAUGAUAGCAGGGGAGGUGCUGAGGAUGCCAGCACAGACACGAUGCCAGAACCAACCUGCAGUUCCCUUGACUUAGGACUGAGAGCACGUGAAAUUAGCUUUACCUAAGGAAAAAGAGCAGUUUCACUUGUUCACAGGAUGCUGUCAGAGGCCUCACACCUGGUACUUCAGACCAGAGUUCCCUGCGGGAAAUGGCCGCAUGAACGCUGACACCUCAGCUGGACCAACCCUGUGCAGAAGCUGCCCACAGACACUCAACUCAAGAUGGCGGCUGUGAACCGUGUGCAGAGACGCUGCACCCGCACUGUCACGUGACGCGUGAGCCGCCCAGCUGUGCCCACCCCUCCCAGAACUCCGCCCCCUCAACCCUCUAAAGCGGCUCCGCCCACCACCUGUCUAGGAAGUGUGUGCUCUAGAGCAUAAGCUCAUACCUCUCCUUUCUCAAAGAAUAAAUCUU